AUCUAUUUGAAUCUACUGCACGUAAAGACACAAAGUAGUUAUUGCAUCUAAAAACAUAUAAAAUGCAUACAGUGAUCCUGCCAAUGCACAGACGAUCUUCUCAAAGCUCCAUCCGGUCCCAAAAUCUUAAUUUCCACUCUUUUUCCUUAAGGUAUAAUCUGGAAUGGAGCCGGACAGGCUUUUAUUAAUCUACUGUGAUAAGUAUGCAACUCUGAUAACCUGAGUGAGGUGCUGAUGUCAGAAGACAAACAGGAGCAUUGUUAGCCUGCAGAGAGCACACCUACCUGCAUUUCUGCAUGAUGUUUUUUUUUUUUUGCUAAUUUUGCAAGUGACAGUUUAAAAUGAAGAAGCAUUUUGUUUCAGAUCUUGCCAGAACAAGCCCCUCCACUUGUUCCACCUCUUUUGCAUUACGUUUCUUGAUGCUCAGAGCAGAAGAAGAUGUAGCUUUAUCUCCUAAAUCCACAAAUGCUCUGUGGUUUAUAAAGCCCUGGAACAGGUCUCUGUUAGACCGGCUGCACCAGGCACAGGCACAGCCUGAUCAAGACCAUUCAUCCCCCCUUCUUUAAAUUCAACAACAGUCUGGGUGUCUCUGCCCUUUCGGAGCAGUGAAUUCUGCAGGCUCGGAGGAGGAAGAAAUUCUUCUCUUGGCCAAACGACUGCUUAUUCUUUUGACAUAGGAUAAUGCAGAAAGGAAGGGCUGACAUUUUUGUUAUUAAAUCUGCCUGGGGAGGAUACAGAAUCUCUUCUAAGAAUGGCACCCUGGCUGUGCUAGGCACUGUAUGUACACAGAAGUGAGGACAAGUCUCUGCCUUGAAAAUCUCACCCUUUUCAAAACCAAAACCACAAAAGAUGUGGGGGAAAAAUGUUUCUGUAAAUAAACAAGAUGAUUAUAACUGUGUGUAAGUUCA
rnacentral:lncRNA from 1 species